rnacentral:tRNA from 1 species
GCCGCCGUAGCUCAGCCGGGUAGAGCGCCGGCCUUGUAAGCCCCCUUUCCUAAGGCCCGGGAAAGCCGGUGGUCGCGGGUUCAAGUCCCGCCGGCGGCU